GAUGAACGCUGGCGGCGUGCCUAAUACAUGCAAGUCGAGCGAACAGACGAGGAGCUUGCUCCUCUGACGUUAGCGGCGGGCGGGUGAGUAACACGUGGAUAACCUACCUAUAAGACUGGGAUAACUUCGGGAAACCGGAGCUAAUACCGGAUAAUAUAUUGAACCGCAUGGUUCAAUAGUGAAAGACGGUUUUGCUGUCACUUAUAGAUGGAUCCGCGCCGCAUUAGCUAGUUGGUAAGGUAACGGCUUACCAAGGCGACGAUGCGUAGCCGACCUGAGAGGGUGGUCGGCCACACUGGAACUGAGACACGGUCCAGACUCCUACGGGAGGCAGCAGUAGGGAAUCUUCCGCAAUGGGCGAAAGCCUGACGGAGCAACGCCGCGUGAGUGAUGAAGGUCUUCGGAUCGUAAAACUCUGUUAUUAGGGAAGAACAAAUGUGUAAGUAACUAUGCACGUCUUGACGGUACCUAAUCAGAAAGCCACGGCUAACUACGUG
rnacentral:rRNA from 1 species